rnacentral:tRNA from 1 species
GGGUUCGUAACUCAGUAGGUAGAGUGUGGGUCUUUUAAACCCAAAGCCGUGGGUUCAAAUCCCACCGAACCCU